AGCUUCGUGGUCGAGUGGUAAGGAUACUUGCCUCUCACAAUGGAGUCCCGGUUUCGAUCCCCGGUCGAGGAGCUA